CAAAGCCGAGCGCCGGAGGCUGGUGUCGGGGACUGUGGAGGCGGGGCGAGGUGGAGGCGGAUCCCCGGCCUCGCACUUCUCCGCAGCUCCUGGAAGCCGCGGGCAACUUGAAGAGUUCUACCUUAUAUGAUCAACCCUACUGCAUUUGCUGAAAUCCUACUCAUCCUACAAAUCACAGCCCUCAUGCCUUGUAGUCCCUGAAGAUCUUGACUUCAGAAAGAAGUGGUGUAUCAGGCACAGACCCAGGACACAUUACAGGUGUGCCAGUGACCAGCAGUGACAGACGAGGGGACAAGGUGAGGGGCUGUCAUUCUUUCAUCCUGAGUAAGGGUAAAGCCUAUGAAGACAAAGCCAGCCCCAAGGAUGACAACAAAGAGACGGAAACAAUCGAGUCCUUGACCAUAUUAGUGACCUGCUGAAUCCGCCAGACCCAAAAAGCCCACCUCAUACUUGAAAUGCAUAAUUCAUUCAGUGGACUGCAUUGCGUGGUAGUGAGCUCCCCGUCUCUGGACUGAUUCUAGCAGAGGCAAUCAGGCUGAGCAUGCUGGAGAUGGACUUCCCUUCCAACUCUGAGAUGGUAUAGUUUCUAGGGGCCUGAAAAUAUGACCCUGAAUGAUUCUGAACCCCCCAACCCCUCCUACCAGGACAUGAAUGAACUUGGCUUAGCCUUGUUUUGAAGGCUGCAUCCCCCAGUGAGACAUGGACUCUUGCAAAAGGCUUCGCUCGGCAGCAGAGGAAUCGAGGCGG